rnacentral:rRNA from 1 species
AUUUGGCAUGGGCGCAAGCCUGAUCCAGCCCCCCGCGUGCAUGAUGAAGGCCCUCGGGUUGUAAACUGCUUUUGUACGGAACGAAACGGCGCGCUCUAAUAAAGUGCGCUAUUGACCGUACCGUAAGAAUAAGCACCGGCUAACUACGUGCCAGCAGCCGCGGUAAUACGUACGGUGCAAGCGUUAAUCGGAAUUACUGGGCGUAAAGCGUGCGCAGGCGGUUUUGUAAGACAGGCGUGAAAUCCCCGGGCUUAACCUGGGAAUUGCGCUUGUGACUGCAAGGCUAGAGUACGGUAGAGGGGGGUAGAAUUCCGCGUGUAGCAGUGAAAUGCGUAGAUAUGCGGAGGAACACCGAUGGCGAAGGCAGCCCCCUGGACCUGUACUGACGCUCAUGCACGAAAGCGUGGGGAGCAAACAGGAUUAGAUACCCUGGUAGUCCACGCCCUAAACGAUGUCAACUGGUUGUUGGGAAUUUACUUUCUCAGUAACGAAGCUAACGCGUGAAGUUGACCGCCUGGGGAGUACGGCCGCAAGGUUGAAACUCAAA